CAUGGAGUUUGAUCCUGGCUCAGAUUGAACGCUGGCGGCAUGCUUUACACAUGCAAGUCGAACGGUAACAGGCCGCAAGGUGCUGACGAGUGGCGAACGGGUGAGUAAUGCAUCGGAACGUGCCCAGUCGUGGGGGAUAACGCAGCGAAAGCUGCGCUAAUACCGCAUACGAUCUAUGGAUGAAAGCGGGGGACCGUAAGGCCUCGCGCGAUUGGAGCGGCCGAUGUCAGAUUAGGUAGUUGGUGGGGUAAAGGCUCACCAAGGCGACGAUCUGUAGCUGGUCUGAGAGGACGACCAGCCACACUGGAACUGAGACACGGUCCAGACUCCUACGGGGAGGCAGCAGUGGGGGAAUUUUGGACAAUGGACGCAAGUCUGAUCCAGCCAUUCCGCGUGCAGGAUGAAGGCCCUCGGGGUUGUAAA
rnacentral:rRNA from 1 species